AUGGACCUCAUGGGCAGGAACGUGCAUCAGCUCUGGUUCCUCCUCUUUCUGUUGGCAGCUCCCAGAUGUGUGAUGUCCCAAGUACAGCUGCAGGAGUCGGGGCCAGGCCUGGUGACGCCCUCGCAUACGCUGUCCCUCACCUGCUCAAUCUCUGGAUUCUCUAUAACCAGCAGCAGCUAUGCUGUGCACUGGGUCCGCCAGGCCCCUGGAAAGGGGCUGGAUUGGAUUGGUGUUAUAGCAUAUAAUGGAAAUACAUACUAUAACCCAAGUCUUCAGUCCCGACUCAACAUCUCCCGGGAUACUGCCAAGAACCAAGUUUACCUAAAAUUGAGCAACUCAGUAACUGAGGACACAGCCGUGUAUUAUUGUACAAGACACAUUAUCCGGGUUCCGUGGUACUUCAUUCAUGUGUGGGGCUUGGCCGGAGCAUCAAUUUCUUAUCCAUGA